AACGAACGCUGGCGGCAGGCCUAACACAUGCAAGUCGAACGGGAGCUUCGGAACAAGUUGCUCACAGGUGCGGAGCGCGUCGGAACGGUGCGGUAGAUACCGGAUACUUCCUCUUAGGGGGGGCUAAUACCGGGUAAUUUAUGCUAACAACAGAUUUGUCCCACUGGUGUAAGCCCGGGAUGUUUUGACCUUUUGGUAUUGUAAGAGCCUACGUCGGAUUAGAUAGAUGGCGGGGGAAAGGCCCACCAAGGCCACGAUCCGUAGCUGGUCUGAGGGGAUGAACAGCCAGACUGGAACUGAGACACAGUCCAGACUCCUGCGGUGGGCAGCAGUGGGGAAUAUUGGACAAUGGGCGCAAGCCUGAUCCAGCCAUACCGCGUAGAUGAAGAUGGCCUUCGGGUUGGAAAGCCCUUUAGUUGGGAAAGAAAAGCAGCAGGUUAAUACCCCGCUGUUCUGACGGUACCCAAAGAAUAAGCACCGGCUAACUUCGUG
rnacentral:rRNA from 1 species